rnacentral:rRNA from 1 species
CUAACACAUGCAAGUCGAACGAAGUAGCAAUACUUAGUGGCAGACGGGUGAGUAACAUGUGGGUAUCUACCCUUUGGCCUGGAAUAACACGAGGAAACCUGUGCUAAUACCGGAUAAGUCCUAACGGAGAAAGUUUUAAUGCCAAAAGAUGAGCCCGCACUUGAUUAGCUAGUUGGUAAGGUAAUGGCUUACCAAGGCAACGAUCAGUAGCUGGUCUGAGAGGAUGGACAGCCACAUUGGGACUGAGACACGGUCCAGACUCC